rnacentral:rRNA from 1 species
UAGGGAAUCUUCGGCAAUGGACGAAAGUCUGACCGAGCAACGCCGCGUGAGUGAAGAAGGUUUUCGGAUCGUAAAACUCUGUUGUUAGAGAAGAACAAGGACGUUAGUAACUGAACGUCCCCUGACGGUAUCUAACCAGAAAGCCACGGCUAACUACGUGCCAGCAGCCGCGGUAAUACGUAGGUGGCAAGCGUUGUCCGGAUUUAUUGGGCGUAAAGCGAGCGCAGGCGGUUUCUUAAGUCUGAUGUGAAAGCCCCCGGCUCAACCGGGGAGGGUCAUUGGAAACUGGGAGACUUGAGUGCAGAAGAGGAGAGUGGAAUUCCAUGUGUAGCGGUGAAAUGCGUAGAUAUAUGGAGGAACACCAGUGGCGAAGGCGGCUCUCUGGUCUGUAACUGACGCUGAUGCUCGAAAGCGUGGGGAGCAAACAGG